rnacentral:rRNA from 1 species
UACAGAGGGUGCGAGCGUUGUCCGGAAUCACUGGGCGUAAAGGGCGCGUAGGUGGCGCUCCAAGUCCGUGGUGAAAGCUCGAUGCUCAACAUCGAGUCGGCCACGGAGACUGGAGGGCUCGAGCACUGUAGGGGCAGAUGGAAUUCCGGGUGUAGCGGUGGGAUGCGUAGAGAGUCCGGAAGAACACCGGUGGCGAAGGCGGUCUGGCUGGG